GAUGAACGCUGGCGGCGUGCCUAAUACAUGCAAGUCGAGCGAACAGACGAGGAGCUUGCUCCUCUGACGUUAGCGGGGGACGGGUGAGUAACACGUGGAUAACCUACCUAUAAGACUGGGAUAACUUCGGGAAACCGGAGCUAAUACCGGAUAAUAUAUUGAACCGCAUGGUUCAAUAGUGAAAGACGGUUUUGCUGUCACUUAUAGCUGGAUCCGCGCCGCAUUAGCUAGUUGGUAAGGUAACGGCUUACCAAGGCAACGAUGCGUAGCCGACCUGAGAGGGUCGUCGCACACACGGGAACUGAGAAACGGCAGCGACACCGACGGUAGGACGCGGUAGGGAAUCUUACGCGAUGGGCGAGAGCCUGACGGAGCACAGCCGCGUGAGUGAUGAAGCUCUUCGGAUCGUAAAGCUAUGUUAUUAGGGAAGAACAAAUGUGUAAGUAACUAUGAACGUAUUGACGGUACCGAAUCAGAAAGCCACGGCUAACUCCGUG
rnacentral:rRNA from 1 species